rnacentral:lncRNA from 1 species
AUAAAACUCAACACCUUCUAAUUCAAGCUUUCACAUUAGGUUCACCAAAUAUGUCAUAAUACGUGAAGUCUUACUUGAGAAUACUCCAAGCACUUGGCUGUGGAAGAUAGAAUGGAAAUUGUAAUAACAAAAUCUCAACUCUAAUAGAACACUAAAAAUACUAAGAAAACUUUAAUUAAAUUCAAAGAAAUCUUAAAUAAAUUAUAAAUAAAUAAUAAAAAAAUCUUAAAAAAAUAUUAGAAUGAUCACAAAUAUAUUUCAAAUAAAUCUCAAUCUAAUCUUAAUUUAAUACUACUUAAAAUCUUAAACCCUAAAUCCUAAAUCCUAAACUUUAGGCCAAAAAGUAAUUAAAUCUUAAAUCCUAACUAAAUCCUAAAUAAAUUCUAAAUAAAUCCUAAUCAAACCUUAAUAAAAUCUUAAACCCUAAAUCAAAUCCUAAUCAAAAUUUAAAUCCUAAAUCAACUCCUAAUCAAAUCUUAAAUCCUAAAUCAACUCCUAAUCAAAUCUUAAAUCCUAAACUAAAUUCUAAUUAAAUCCUAAAUCUUAAACUAAAUUAUAACCAAAUCCUAAAUCAAAUCUUAACCAAAUCUUAAUUCUAAUCAAAUCCUAAUCAAAUCCUAAAUCCUAAAUCAAAUCCUAAUCAAAUCUUAAAUCCUAAAUCAAAUCCUAACCAAACUCUAAACCAUAAAUCAAAUCCUAACCAAACUCUAAAUCCUAAAUCAAACCCUAAACAAAUCCUAAAUCAAAUCUUAAUCAAACCCUAAUCAAAUCCUAAAUUCUAAAUUUUAAAUUCUAAAUCAAAGCCUA